UACGUAGGGUGCGAGCGUUGUCCGGAAUUAUUGGGCGUAAAGAGCUUGUAGGCGGUUUGUCGCGUCUGCUGUGAAAAUCCGGGGCUCAACUCCGGACUUGCAGUGGGUACGGGCAGGCUAGAGUGUGGUAGGGGAGACUGGAAUUCCUGGUGUAGCGGUGGAAUGCGUAGAGAUCGGGAAGAACAUCAGUGGCGAAGGCGGCCUGCUGGGCUGUUGCUGACGCUGAGGCGCGACAGCGUGGGGAGCAAACAGG
rnacentral:rRNA from 1 species